ACCUGGAUGGCUCAGUCAGUUGAGCAACUGACUUCAGCUCAGGUCAUGAUCUCACACUUUGUGGGUUCAAGCCCCUCAUUGGGUU
rnacentral:tRNA from 1 species